UCAGCCCAGCCCAGCCCAGCCCAGCUCAGCCCAGCCCAGCCCGCCGGUUCCGCGCUGCCUGCCCGUUCCAUCCCCUCCGUCCUCCCCGCGGCUCCGCGAUGUCGUCGGGCGGCAGCCUGAGCACCAUGCAGCGGCUGGUGGAGCAGCUGAAGCUGGAGGCGGCCGUGGAGAGGAUUAAGGUCUCUCAGGCAGCUGCAGAACUCCAGCAGUACUGUAUGCAAAAUGCCUGCAAAGAUGCCUUGCUUGUUGGGGUUCCUGCAGGGAGUAAUCCCUUCCGAGAACCCCGAUCCUGUACUCUGCUCUGAAAUCAGAUCUAGAGGAUGAGCUACUCCCUGAACUCUGCCUUAAGUGCUCUGCAUUGCCAGUACCCUUGUAACACCUGCAGAGUAGGGAAGGUCAUUGGAGAAUUGCCUUCAAGCAUGACAUGAAUAACAACUGCCUUUUCUUCACAAAAAAAGUCUCUGCCUUUUAUGUGGCUAAGACAGCAUCCUAGAUAUCUGUGUGUUCUUGUGAUUCCCUUUUCCGCUAUAUUUUCUUAAUGUUCUUGAAGUUUUUUAAUGUAACUCUUACUCUUUUCAUAAUCAUCAUCACUUUUACUGCACUAUGCUAACUAUACAUCUAUUACUUGAGAAGUUUACAUUUUAGAAAUGAAAAACGUGAAUUUUUAACCAAUUUACUGAUUCUGAUCUUGAUAAACCAUAACACCAGAAUAAUAGCAAAAACUAUUCAUGGGGAUUUUUUUUUUCCAAAAUAAAACAACCCAAAAGUGAAUAAUUAAAGUAUAAAGCUAAAUACUGUUAGUGCUGAAGUAAUGUCCUCAGGGGACACUUUGAUUCCAUUAGCAAGACCUGGAACCAACUUCAAUUUUUUUUUCAAGUGCAUCUCAGUGCAUAAAUGACACAUUUUAGUAACUGCUGAACACAAUAUGUAGCAGAGGCUUGAUUCCCAAAGCAUGUUUCUUGCAAUACUUCUAAUCAGUAAGCCACCUCCUUUUGUAUAUUUGUAACAGCACUGCUGUGGUGGAAUUUCCUUCACUUAUUUAGAAAUGUUACCAAAUAGACAUUAAGAACUUGUGAACACCCAAAGGCAAUUGCAUGCAAUGUUGUCACAGUUUGCAAUACACUGAAUUUACUAAAAUGUGCUUGGUCAUUUGCCUUCACUUUUUUGAUAGAGCACUUUUACAAAAACAACUUUUUUUAAUAGGUUUUUAAUUUUGUCUACUUUGUAUUGUUUGUAUUAAUCUUUUAGAAGUUUGGAAAUAAAAUUCCUAUCCCUCUUUGCUUUGAA